GCGGCGAAAGGGAGAGUAAUGCACGGGUAACCUGCCCCUAGGACUGGGAUAGCCGUGGGAAACUGCGGGUAAUACCAGAUGAUGUCUGAUAGCUUCGGCUAUCGGACCAAAGGUGCGAGUCCGCCUAGGGAGGGGCCCGUGUCCUAUCAGCUAGUUGGUGGGGUAACGGCUCACCAAGGCUACGACGGGUACGGGGUGUGAGAGCAUGUCCCCGCUCACUGGGACUGAGACACUGCCCAGACACCUACGGGUGGCUGCAGUCGAGAAUCUUCGGCAAUGGGCGCAAGCCUGACCGAGCGACGCCGCGUGCGGGACGAAGGCCGUUGUGUUGUAAACCGCUGUCAGGGGGGAGGAAAUGUCGGCCCUCAGGGUCGGCUUGACCUAUCCCCAGAGGAAGGACGGGCUAAGUCCGUGCCAGCAGCCGCGGUAAGACGGACCGUCCGAACGUUACUCGGAAUUACUGGGCUUAAAGGGUGCGUAGGCGGCUUUGCAAGUCGGGUGUGAAAGCCCUCG
rnacentral:rRNA from 1 species